rnacentral:rRNA from 1 species
GGGCCCGCACAAGCGGCGGAGCAUGCGGAUUAAUUCGAUGCAACGCGAAGAACCUUACCAAGCUUUGACAUGUACGGGAAGCCACCAGAGAUGGUGGUCUCUUUGGACACUCGUGCACAGGUGGUGCAUGGUUGUCGUCAGCUCGUGUCGUGAGAUGUUGGGUUAAGUCCCGCAACGAGCGCAACCCUCGUCCCAUGUUGCCAGCACGUGAUGGUGGGGACUCAUGGGAGACUGCCGGGGUCAACUCGGAGGAAGGUGGGGAUGACGUCAAAUCAUCAUGCCCCUUAUGGCUUGGGCUUCACGCAUGCUACAAUGGCCGGUACAAAGGGCUGCGAUACCGCGAGGUGGAGCGAAUCCCAUAAAGCCGGUCUCAGUUCGGAUUGGGGUCUGCAACUCGACCCCAUGAAGUCGGAGUCGCUAGUAAUCGCAGAUCAGCAAUGCUGCGGUGAAUACGUUCUCGGGCCUU